rnacentral:rRNA from 1 species
AUACGGAGGAUCCGAGCGUUAUCCGGAUUUAUUGGGUUUAAAGGGUGCGCAGGCGGGAGAUUAAGUCGGCGGUGAAAUUUUGCAGCUCAACUGUAAAAGUGCCUUCGAUACUGGUUUCCUUGAGUGUGGAUGAAGUAGGCGGAAUUUGUGGUGUAGCGGUGAAAUGCUUAGAUAUCACGAGGAACUCCGAUUGCGCAGGCAGCUUACUAAACCACUACUGACGCUCAGGCACGAAGGCGUGGGGAUCAAACAGGAUUAGAUACCCUGGUAGUCCACGCAGUAAACGAUGAUUACUGGCUGUUUGCGAUACAAUGUAAGCGGCUGAGCGAAAGCGUUAAGUAAUCCACCUAGGGAGUACGUUCGCAAGAAUGAAACUCAAAUGAAUUGACGGGG